UCCAACGGCUGGAGAUGCUCUAAUUCAUUGUAUUUGCAUGUUUCCAGCAGCCAUGUAUCAAAAAAAGCUUCAGCUUUGGGUUGUUGAUUUAGCAGAAUCAAUCAUUAAUUGUUCUGCUAUAUAUGUUCUUAACCAUGACAACCUGAUUAGGCUCUUAGUUUAUUAUGGUCUUUGUUCUGGGUGGAUCUCUGACUAUUCUGGGUGGGCUUGAAUCUCUUCUUUGUUUCUUCAUCUCCUCUUAUUCUGAUUCCUGCGUUUGUUUUAUGUGAAGGUUGCUCCGAUGAGGACAAGCUGCUUCUGCAGGUGGAUGGGCCCUCAAGGCUGCUCUGCCUAUUCCUCCUGCUACCCCCACACGUGUUCUGAUCUCCUUUUUCUGCGGCUCCAUACAUCGAACACAAAGCCGUCGAUGCAUUGAGGGCUCAAUGUCGUCUCCGUCGGCUGAGCGGCAAGCCGGGGUUGGGCCUGCACACCGUCUAUCAGCACCCUCCCGCGUCUCCAUUCACGGAUCUGCAGUUGAGCAUAAUAGUUUAUAGCCUGAUAGGCUUGGACAUAAUUGUCUACAUGUACUGCUCAGUAGGCGACAUCCUUUGGGAAAUUGAGGAUGUCCUCGUGCAUUUUCUAAAUACAAUUGGGGCAUAUCUGAGGAAUGAAGGGAGGAAUAAACUCGUGGGAGAGUUCGGUGCAGAGGAAGAAGAACAAGAUAUUAUUUAUUUCUUGUGUACAGUCAAGCUUGUGCAUUGUCCCACUUUCUGGGGCCAGGCAACCUUGAAUCCAACGUCCACCUGCAGGCUACAUCUCAGGGAGGAGCCGGGCGACAAGGCAGUCAGACCAAACUCUCUAUCCAUAUAUAUAGGUAGUCUGAUGUUAUGCCAUAGCCGAACCAUAUAUGUUUCGUGUACUGCUCUAUCAAUCUGGUCUUUUGGUAUAUUAGACUCUAUCCUUUGUAAUGAACUUAUUGUCAUGGGCGAUCAUUAUGACUGGAUCGUAUGGUAUGA